AUUGAACGCUGGCGGAAUGCUUUACACAUGCAAGUCGAACGGCAGCACGGACUUCGGUCUGGUGGCGAGUGGCGAACGGGUGAGUAAUAUAUCGGAACGUGCCCAGUCGUGGGGGAUAACGUAGUGAAAAUUACGCUAAUACCGCAUACGAUCUAUGGAUGAAAGCGGGGGAUCGCAAGACCUCGCGCGAUUGGAGCGGCCGAUAUCAGAUUAGGUAGUUGGUGGGGUAAAGGCUCACCAAGCCAACGAUCUGUAGCUGGUCUGAGAGGACGACCAGCCACACUGGAACUGAGACACGGUCCAGACUCCUACAGGAGGCAGCAGUGGGGAAUUUUGGACAAUGGACGCAAGUCUGAUCCAGCCAUUCCGCGUGCAGGACGAAGGCCUUCGGUUGUAACU
rnacentral:rRNA from 1 species